AUUGAACGCUGGCGGCAGGCUUAACACAUGCAAGUCGAGCGGGGUGAUGGUGCUUGCACUAUCACUUAGCGGCGGACGGGUGAGUAAUGCUUAGGAAUCUGCCUAUUAGUUGGGGACAACAUCUCGAAAGGGAUGCUAAUACCGCAUACGUCCUACGGGAGAAAGCAGGGGAUCACUUGUGACCUUGCGCUAAUAGAUGAGCCUAAGUCGGAUUAGCUAGUUGGUGGGGUAAAGGCCUACCAAGGCGACGAUCUGUAGCGGGUCUGAGAGGAUGAUCCGCCACACUGGGACUGAGACACGGCCCAGACUCCUACGGGAGGCAGCAGUGGGGAAUAUUGGACAAUGGGGGAAACCCUGAUCCAGCCAUGCCGCGUGUGUGAAGAAGGCCUUAUGGUUGUAAAGCACUUUAAGCGAGGAGGAGGCUCUUUUGGUUAAUACCCAAGAUGAGUGGACGUUACUCGCAGAAUAAGCACCGGCUAACUCUGUGCCAGCCGCCGCGGUAA
rnacentral:rRNA from 1 species